UGCUUCUGCAACAAAACACAUGAAAAAACCAAAGAUUAAUACGUACAUAUUGCGAUAAAAAUCUGAGGAUAUUAAAUUUCAAAAUGACCAAAAUCAGAUCAAAACUUCAACUAUGUUGUAGCAGGCUACGUCUUCCAAUCCAAUUCUUUCAAUCAUGCCGUGCUUUCACGGAUCAGAUGGAGACCCAUCCCCUUCCUCCACCUCCUUUCUCACUAAUGUGAUUAAAACUGGUGAAGGACCCU
rnacentral:lncRNA from 1 species